rnacentral:misc_RNA from 1 species
GCACGGUAGCUUUACCAAUUAGCAGCACUAAUCUUUAAUUAAUACAAAUCAAACUCAUCAAUUAUCAAAUUUCAAGAACAUCGUUAAACUCGUUGUCAAACACAAAUUUAAAUUCGAAUCAAUUAUACUAAAGACAAAUUCAUGAAAUGCUAUCAAAAUUUCCAACUUAAAAAUUGUGUUGACCAACUAAAUUACGACAAUACCCUUUAGUUUCAUCAGCAGAAAAUUAUAAAAAAAAAAUUUCCAAAUGUCCAAUGAUCGCAGCCGCAGGUAUUUCGCAGUUUGAACACAGACAAUGAGACAACUCAACAAACAAGGGCUAGCUUUGGCUUACCAUUUCCCCGCAAAUAAGAUCCUACCACAUAAGCACCGCGGACCACUUGACAUGGGACCCGUCCCACGUGGGAUAAUCAAAACCGUAAAAUUCCACUCAAUAUCCAUGGAUGAUCUCAGAGCAC